rnacentral:rRNA from 1 species
GUCUAUGGCCAUAACACCCUGAACGUGCCUGAUCUCGUCUGAUCUUGGAAGCUAAGCAGGGUCAGGCCUGGAUGGGAGAAGUAAUUUUCACUUUGCAUUUUCAAGUCAUGUAUU